ACUUACAGCGAAUUCACUAGUUUUUUAAUCAAUAGUUUUUAAUCAAUCGAAGCACCUGGAAAAUGGAAUAUGUCUGUCCACGGUCUCGUACAUUGUUGUCGCGAUGACAACGCUGAAGUUAUUGUCAACUUGAUAGAGGUCGUGAUAAGGAAAUUUUUACGAUAUUGGGAAUGUCGGCAUCGAUAAUGGCUUUCUAUAAAGUACGUCUAUAUGGAAACUUCAGGACAACGUUUUACGAACAUAAAUUACAAAGAAACUUUGAAAAUUUUGAAUCGCACAAUUGUUAGCAUCGAUCGUUCCACGUCAAGAAUUACUACAUGACUAUUAUAUCAAUUUUCGAAUUUUUUGCUGGACGUGCAGAAUGACAGAUCGUUUACUAAAAUUAAUUGUGGAGCUAUUUUAUUGCUUUUUAUGUGACACAAGUAAAGUAAGUUUUGGACAUUAGCUGAUAUUUGCAACCAUAAUGGAUCCGCUAGCAACAUAUACGAUCAUAAAUUUAUGCAGUGAAAGCGACGUUUCAACAAAGCUUUUUAGCUUUCCUUUUCAUUUCAGCAAGUGGUUAUGUCAAAUGUCAAACCGCAAAGAUGACACAGUUGAUCCAAAACACGACAAUAUCGAUACUAUGAAUAUAGUUGCCAUACAUUAUAGUAUAGGCAUGUUGAGUUGACGAGUCAAAAACUAUGGUGCGAUCUUUUAAAUAUGAAGAGAGUCGCGAUAUAGCAAUUAAGAUCUUUUAUAGGAAUAAUAUAAACAAUUUUUACCAGUUCGAAGACGGCUACAUUACAGCUAUACAUUGACUUUCGAAUAAAGUUCUUAUUUUUGAGCAUCA